rnacentral:rRNA from 1 species
GACGAACGCUGGCGGCGUGCUUAACACAUGCAAGUCGAACGGAAAGGCCAUGAUUUUGUGGGGUGCUCGAGUGGCGAACGGGUGAGUAACACGUGAGUAACCUGCACUUGUAUUUGGGAUAACUUCAGGGAACUGGGGCUCAUACCGGAUAGGAGCUACUGAUGCAUGGGGGGGGAUGGAAAGUUUCGGCGGUUGGGGAUGGAAUCGAGGCUUAUCAGCUUGAUGGGGGGGUAGUGGCUUACCAAGGCUGUGACGGGUAGCCGGCCUGAGAGCGUGACCGGCCACCAUGGGACUGCGAUACGGCCCAGACUCCUACGGGAGGCAGCAGUGGGGAACAUUGCACAAUGGGCGGAAGCCUGAUGCAGCAACGCCGCGUGCGGGAUGCCGGCCUUCUGGUUGUAAACCGCUUUCGCCUUUGACGAAGCGUUAUUGACGGUAAUUGGUAAAGAAGCACCGGCUAACUACGUG